GAAGUACUCCCUCCGUUUCGUAAUUCUUGUCUCAAAUUUGCUCAAAAUUGAAUGUAUGUAUUUCUAAAAAAUGUCUAGAUACAUAUAAUAUUUCGACAAGAAUUAUGAAACGGAGGGAGUACAUA
rfam:Brachypodium distachyon strain Bd21 chromosome 3, whole genome shotgun sequence.